rnacentral:tRNA from 1 species
GCAUCGGUGGUGGAAUUGGCAGACACGCUUCGAAGCGCAAAAGUGGUAGAGGUUCUUGCAGGUUCGAGUCCUGCCCGGUGCA